rnacentral:rRNA from 1 species
CUUGACCUCGGAUCAGACAAGGAUACCCGCUGAAUUAAGCAUAUCAAUAAGCGGAGGA